ACGUCUGUAUCUGUAUCGUCAUCGACUGACUCAGAACCUGACGGCAGCCAUGACACUUGUCCUCAGCAUCCUUCUGUGCGCCUCGCUUCUGCCAGCUUUGACUGCGGCAGGUACCGUGUACACACGUUGGGGAAGCAAGGGGUGUUCCUCACCCAAGUCGACUGUGUAUUCAGGUUAUGUGGCCGGCAGUUGGUACA